rnacentral:rRNA from 1 species
AACGAACGCUGGCGGCAGGCCUAACACAUGCAAGUCGAACGACACCUUCGGGCCAGCUUGCUCACGGGUGCGUAACGCGGGGGAACCUUCCCUUAUAUUCGGAAUAACUCCUCUAAAGGGGUGCUAAUACCGGAUAACGUCUUCGAACCAAAGAUUUAUCCCCUUUGGAUGGGCCCGAGUUGUAUUAGCUAGUUGGUAGGGUAAAAGCCUACCAAGGAUACGAUCCUUAGCUGGUAUGAGAGGAUGAUCAGCAACACUGGGACUGGGACAAGGCCCAGACUCCUACGGGAGGCAGCAGUGGGGAAUAUUGGACAAUGGGCGAAAGAAUGAUCCAGCAAGGCCGCGUGAGUGAUUAAGGCCUUAGGGUUGUAAAGCUCUUUUAACCGGGAUGAUAAUGACAGUACCGGGAGAAUAAGCUCCGGCUAACUCCGU